UCCGUUACAGCGUAUGAUCCUCGUAUACAGCAAAGCGGCGUUAUGGAUUCGAGGCGAUGGUCCGCGUGUGGUCCUCCGCCAUGGCAAGACGAUGACCUAGCUGCUGUGCCAUGGGGAGAGUUCGACCAACCGUUUGACUACGACCGGCCACUCAAUCUCG